rnacentral:rRNA from 1 species
UACGGAGGGUGCAAGCGUUAUCCGGAUUUACUGGGUUUAAAGGGUGUGUAGGCGGACUUUUAAGUCAGCGGUGAAAUCUCCGGGCUAAACCCGGAAACUGCCAUUGAUACUAUUGGUCUUGAAUGUUGUUGAGGUGGGCGGAACGGGUCAUGUAGCGGUGAAAUGCAUAGAUAUGACCCGGAACAACGAUUGCGAAGGCAGCCCACUAAGCAACGAUUGACGCUGAGGCACGAAAGCGUGGGGAUCAAACAGG